rnacentral:rRNA from 1 species
GACGAACGCUGGCGGCGUGCUUAACACAUGCAAGUCGAACGGAAAGGCCCUGCUUUUGUGGGGUGCUCGAGUGGCGAACGGGUGAGUAACACGUGAGUAACCUGCCCUUGACUUUGGGAUAACUUCAGGAAACUGGGGCUAAUACCGGAUAGGAGCUCCUGCUGCAUGGUGGGGGUUGGAAAGUUUCGGCGGUUGGGGAUGGACUCGCGGCUUAUCAGCUUGUUGGUGGGGUAGUGGCUUACCAAGGCUUUGACGGGUAGCCGGCCUGAGAGGGUGACCGGCCACAUUGGGACUGAGAUACGGCCCAGACUCCUACGGGAGGCAGCAGUGGGGAAUAUUGCACAAUGGGCGGAAGCCUGAUGCAGCAACGCCGCGUGCGGGAUGACAGCCUUCGGGCGGUAAACCGCUUUCGCCUGUGACGAAGCGUGAGUGACGGUAAUGGGUAAAGAAGCACCGGCUAACUACGU